ACUCCUACGGGAGGCAGCAGUGGGGAAUCUUCCGCAAUGGGCGAAAGCCUGACGGAGCAACGCCGCGUGAGUGAUGACGGCCUUCGGGUUGUAAAACUCUGUGAUCCGGGACGAAAAGGCAGAGUGCGAAGAACAAACUGCAUGACGGUACCGAAA
rnacentral:rRNA from 1 species